rnacentral:rRNA from 1 species
CCUACGGGUGGCAGCAGUGAGGAAUAUUGGUCAAUGGGCGGGAGCCUGAACCAGCCAAGCCGCGUGAAGGAAGAAGGCGCCAGGCGUCGUAAACUUCUUUUGUCGGGGAACAAAGGGCGCCACGCGUGGCGUUGUGAGUGUACCCGAAGAAAAAGCAUCGGCUAACUCCGUGCCAGCAGCCGCGGUAAUACGGAGGAUGCGAGCGUUAUCCGGAUUUCUUGGGUUAAAAGGGUGCGUAGGCGGUCCGGAAAGUCAGCGGUAAAAGCCCGGGGCUAAAUCCCGGCGAGCCGUUGAAACUGGCAGUCUUGAGUACAGUAGAGGUGAGCGGAAUUCGUGGUGUAGCGGUGAAAUGCGUAGAUAUUAGGAAGAACACCGAUGGCGAAGGCAGUUCACUGGACUGCAACUGACACUGAGGCUCGAAAGUGUGGGUAUCAAACAGGAUUAGAUACCCGUGUAGUC